AGGACGAACGCUGGCGGCGUGCCUAACACAUGCAAGUCGAACGAGGUCCAUCCGGUAGCAAUACCGGAGAAGAUCAAGUGGCGAACGGGUGAGUAGCACGUGAGCAACCUGCCCCGAAGACCGGGACAACACCGGGAAACCGGUGCUAAUACCGGAUAUCCCCACCGAGUCGCAUGGCUUGGUGAGGAAAUGGAUUCCGCUUCGGGAGGGGCUCGCGGCCUAUCAGCUAGUUGGUGAGGUAACGGCUCACCAAGGCUUCGACGGGUAGCUGGUCUGAGAGGACGAUCAGCCACACUGGGACUGAGACACGGCCCAGACUCCUACGGGAGGCAGCAGUGGGGAAUCUUGCACAAUGGGCGAAAGCCUGAUGCAGCAACGCCGCGUGAGGGACGAAGGCUUUCUGAGUUGUAAACCUCUUUCAGCAGGGACGAUUGUGACGGUACCUGCAGAAGAACGCCCGGCAACUACGUGCCAGCAGCCGC
rnacentral:rRNA from 1 species